rnacentral:tRNA from 1 species
CGGGAUGUAGCUCAGCCUGGUAGAGCACCGCGUUUGGGACGCGGGGGCCGCCGGUUCGAAUCCGGCCAUCCCGA